CUUCAGUUCAGAUUAGCUUGCAAUCAACACUUUUUUUUUUUUUUAAAUGCUCUUUCUUUUUUUACUUUUAUUUUGAGGACAUUUAAAGAACAGUGAAGACUCAAAACUGUUCACAGGGUCUGGGUUUCUGGCACUGCUGAAGGUUCUGCAAGGUAGCAACGUCUCUGUAUUCAGAUGACUUGCUAACUCUGUCAUAGCCCUGGUAGAACACUAUUAAAAAAAGUUAUUUCUGAUGACAUAUUCCAAUGCAAUGGAGAUUCCUAUGUAUGUUAAUUUGCUUUGAGGAUUGCAUCAUCUCAAAGGAAGUAUAGCCAGAGAGAUUUAAAACAAAAGUGGUCUGUCUCCAGGUUGAGCUGUGAUACUUGGCAGUAAUACUGCUCUCCACUGAGUCCAAUGUGCUGCUUUAACAUAAUGCUCUCCUUCCCAUUGUGUCAUGCUGGAAGGAUGGCAUUUCUUGUCUCCCGAUCCCUAAAAGAUACUAGAUGAGAUAUUUAAGCUACCAAUGUCCUUGAAUGAGGUUAUUAGUCCAUGUAGAACCUUGUACUGUGAGCAUUAUGAGGAUUUUGGGGGGACUGUUCAGGAAGCAAAAUGCUGAAAUGAAACCUCUCAUUACUGAAGUAAGUGUUGUGGAAACCUACUUACGACUUGGUUGUAGGACAUGCAUAUUUAUCCCUAUUACUGUCCCAGCAUUUUAUCAACUAGUGUCUUAUGUUGAAUUGAGAGAGUGGGAUGCUCGGGAUGAGAAAGGAUUUCUUUGCCCAUCUGCAGGUUUCACACCAUGAACACAAUGCUAAGACACUAAAUUUCAUGCCCCAAAGCUGACGGAUGUUCCUUGCUUCCUGAAAGGGACAUUUCUGUGUAUUGUCCAUGACAAUUUUUGGAUAAACACCACUGAUGAGUUCCUGCCCACUGCUGAAUUUCCUGAGAGAGCUGUGCUGAAGGGCAUGUUGAAUGCAGGACCUUGCAGACUCCUUCCAGGAAAGGGUGUUGUGAUACACCUCUAGGAUUUUCUUCAUAGGUCAGGAGUGUAGCUCUAAUGCAAGCAAAUAACUUUUGUGCUGUGAUGUUCUCUCUCUCCAAUUGUUCUAAUUUUUGCUCUUUGGAUGCACCUAGAUUCCUCUCACAUUCCCAUCUGUGUGAUAAGUAAUGCAGCACAAAUUAUGG
ensembl:lncRNA